UACAGAGGUGGCAAGCGUUGUUCGGAAUUACUGGGCGUAAAGGGCGCGUAGGCGGUCUUAUAAGUCUCGUGUGAAAUCCCUCGGCUUAACUGAGGAACUGCACGGGAUACUGCAAGACUUGAGAUCGGGAGAGGGAAGCGGAAUUCCGGGUGUAGCGGUGAAAUGCGUAGAUAUCAGGAGGAACACCGGUGGUGUAGACGGCUUUCUGGACCGUAACUGACGCUGAGACACGAAAGCGUGGGUAGCAAACAGG
rnacentral:rRNA from 1 species